rnacentral:rRNA from 1 species
AUUGAACGCUGGCGGCAUGCCUUACACAUGCAAGUCGAACGGUAACGGGCCUUCGGGUGCCGACGAGUGGCGAACGGGUGAGUAAUGCAUCGGAACGUACCUUUCAGUGGGGGAUAACGUAGCGAAAGUUACGCUAAUACCGCAUAUUCUGUGAGCAGGAAAGCAGGGGAUCGCAAGACCUUGCGCUGAUUGAGCGGCCGAUGUCAGAUUAGCUAGUUGGUGAGGUAAAGGCUCACCAAGGCGACGAUCUGUAGCGGGUCUGAGAGGAUGGUCCGCACAACUGGAACUGAGACACGGUCCAGACUCCUACGGGAGGCAGCAGUGGGGAAUUUUGGACAAUGGGGGCAACCCUGAUCCAGCCAUGCCGCGUGAGUGAAGACGGCCGUCGGGUUGUAAGGCUCUUUCGGUCGGGAAGAAAUCGCAUGGGUUAAUACCCUGUGCGGAUGACGGUACCGGCAUAAGAAGCACCGGCUAACUACGUGCCAGCAGCCGCCGUAAAAC